GCCAUGUUUCUGCUACAUACAUGCUGUGAGCAAAUCCAAAUGCAGUCUAUACUGCUUUGCCCCUUCUGUUAGAAACACAAGGAGCCAGAGGACCAGAAAAAUAUUUUGUAAGAAAACAACAGUUUCUGACUCUGUAUCACCUGCUUCAAUGCAAGCUGGGGCGCGGAGUGAUGCAACCCACAAGCGUGGAAGGGGCUGGCGGAUGGGCUGUCUCGGGCUGAUCUGAUGUCAGAGCAGAUCAUGUGGUGCUCUUUAAGCUGCUGGGACUGGCCCGCGGGAAGCACAUGGAUUACAGUCUGAGGCUGUGAUGGGAAAGUCGGUUCCUGAGCUGCUGUCUCAUACACAUCAGAGGGCUGGGAAGCUGGGGACUCCGACUCGCCCUGCUUUGGGCCCCUCCUGUUGCGUGGUCACAGGCAAUCACCGCCGAGAGAAGCUGCCGCUCCAGUAAGUAACUGAUCAGGGACAUGAAGAACUGCUAUUUCAAAUGACAACCAUGUUGCAAAAGAACCAAAACAAGUGUGAGAGCCAAACUACAUGCAAUGGAGCCACACAGUCAAGCUGCAUCCAAUCCAAGGACCCCCACGAUGAGCAUCCUGGCGACCAGGUCAGUCAAAGACCCUUCAUGCAUUGGGGAGUUAUGGUUUUAAGUUCCCUGAUAUCAGGAGCCGUGUCUAAAUUACCCUCCUAUGUAACUGUAGAUUAUCAACUGAUAAUGAGACAUUCUUACCACAUCAGAGUUUCGAUUGGGUUGACUUAGUGCCGGAAAAUUUGAGCCACAAGAGUGGUU